UAGCUUAGCUUAGCUAUAAUAGCUAAUUUCGGUUCCAUUGACAUUGUUCAUACUGCUCAGAGAAAUCUAUUAAAAACACAAACCUCCGUUGUUUCUCUGCUACGCUGUAAACAUCGCCUUACACUCUUAAUCUCGUACAAUAUACAGAAUAACGAUAGCACUGAU